rnacentral:rRNA from 1 species
GACAGAGGGUGCAAACGUUGUUCGGAAUUACUGGGCGUAAAGCGCGUGUAGGUGGCACGGUAAGUCGGAUGUGAAAGCCCUGGGCUCAACCCAGGAAGUGCAUUCGAUACUACCGAGCUAGAGUCCCGGAGAGGAUGGUGGAACUCUCGGUGUAGAGGUGAAAUUCGUAGAUAUCGAGAAGAACACCGGUGGCGAAGGCGGCCAUCUGGACGGUGACUGACACUGAGACGCGAAAGCGUGGGGAGCAAACAGGAUUAGAUACCCUGGUAGUCCACGCCGUAAACGAUGGGUGCUAGGUGUCACGGGUAUUGACCCCUGUGGUGCCGAAGCCAACGCAUUAAGCACCCCGCCUGGGAAGUACGGCCGCAAGGCUA